rnacentral:rRNA from 1 species
CCUCCCUUAUUAAAUCAGUUAUGGUUCCUUAGAUCGUUUCUUCCUACUUGGAUAACUGUGGCAAUUCUAGAGCUAAUACAUGCAGUGAGCCUGAAGCCCUUUGGGCGACGGGUGCUUUUAUUAGACCAAGAUCGAUCGGGUUUCGGCCCGUAUUGUGUGGUGACUCUGGAUAACUUUGUGCUGAUCGCAUGGCCACGAGCCGGCGACGUUUCUUUCAAGUGUCUGCCUUAUCAACUUUCGAUGGUAGGUUACUUGCUUACCAUGGUUGUUACGGGUAACGGAGAAUCAGGGUUCGAUUCCGGAGAGGGAGCCUGAGAAACGGCUACCACAUCCAAGGAAGGCAGCAGGCGCGCAAAUUACCCACUCCCGGCACGGGGAGGUAGUGACGAAAAAUAACAAUACGGGACUCUUUUGAGGCCCCGUAAUUGAAAUGAGUACACUCUAAAUCCUUUAACGAGGAUCAAUUGGAGGGCAAGUCUGGUGCCAGCAGCCGCGGUAAUUCCAGCUCCAAUAGCGUAUACUAAAGCUGCUGCGGUUAAAAAGCUCGUAGUUGGAUCUCAGUUCCAGACGAGUAGUGCAUCUACCCGAUGCGACGGCUCGGACUGAACAUCAUGCCGGUCCUUUCUUGGUGCACUUCAUUGUGUGCCUCGAGAAGGCCGGUGCUUUUACUUUGAAAAAAUUAGAGUGCUCAACGCAGGCGAGUCGCCUGAAUAAACUUGCAUGGAAUAAUAGAACAAGACCUCGUUUCUGUUCUGUUGGUUUUUUGGAAUACGAGGUAAUGAUUAAGAGGGGACAGACGGGGGGCAUUC